AAAUUCCGAUACCAGUACAAACUGUUACUUCACGCAUUCAAAGCCUUGCAUGGACUUGCUCCUUCGUAUCUUAGUGAACUAAUACUUUUUUACAAACCAGCACGAUCGUUGCAGUCUAAAAAUGCUUCUUGAAUCGAGAUGCCAAAAAUGCACGGACCAAAAUGUAUGGUGAACGGAGGUUCGAUAUGACGGUCAGGACUCUGUGGAAUAGCCUUCCAACAAAUCUUCGAAAUGAAC
rnacentral:lncRNA from 1 species